rnacentral:rRNA from 1 species
GGAUUAUUGGACAAUGGACGCAAGCCUGAUCCAGCCAUGCCGCGUGAGUGAUGAAGGCCCUAGGGUUGUAAAGCUCUUUCACCGGUGAAGAUAAUGACGGUAACCGGAGAAGAAGCCCCGGCUAACUUCGUGCCAGCAGCCGCGGUAAUACGAAGGGGGCUAGCGUUGUUCGGAAUUACUGGGCGUAAAGCGCACGUAGGCGGGUAUUUAAGUCAGGGGUGAAAUCCCAGAGCGCAACUCUGGAACUGCCUUUGAUACUGGGUAUCUUGAGUAUGGAAGAGGUAAGUGGAAUUCCGAGUGUAGAGGUGAAAUUCGUAGAUAUUCGGAGGAACACCAGUGGCGAAGGCGGCUUACUGGGCCAUUACUGACGCUGAGGUGCGAAAGCGUGGGGAGCAAACA